UACGCAUCACCUUCAGUCCUGUCAAUGCCA
rnacentral:piRNA from 1 species